rnacentral:tmRNA from 1 species
GGGGGCGAAACGGUUUCGACGAGGGCGGAGAAGCCCUGUUGGCGUGUCGCCGGAUUCGGUAGCGGCGUCAAAAACAUCCGGAAACCCACAAGUGCGAACGACAACGCGCUUGCUCUCGCUGCCUAGUAAGUAGUCAGAGAGCCGUCGAAGGCUGGAGCCCGUCAGCGCUCCACCGGAGGCGUAAUCGAGCUGGCUGGCCCAAUCCCACGUGAUCCGGGGUGAGGGCGAGAAAACAGGAUCGCUCGCGGUGAGAACAGCCCGUCUGCAGGCGGCGCUCACUGCCAAACCAAAUUGCAGACUACACACGUAGAAGGCAGUGUUGCGGACUGCUCGCGGACGCGGGUUCGACUCCCGCCGCCUCCAUCG